UAGCUCAGUCAGUUAGAGCGUGGUACUGAUAACACCAAGGUCGCGGGUUUGAUCCCCGU
rnacentral:tRNA from 1 species